CUGAUUGAUCCUGCCAGUAGUCAUAUGCUUGUCUCAAAGAUUAAGCCAUGCAUGUCAAAGUAUAAGCACUUGUACUGUGAAACUGCGAAUGGCUCAUUAAAUCAGUUAUCGUUUAUUUGAUUGUACCUUUACUACUUGGAUAACCGUGGUAAUUUUAGAGCUAAUACAUAAUAAUAAUAAUAAUAAUAAUAAUAAUAAUAAUAAUAAUAAUAAUAAUCUUUAUUGCCUUAGAUAAAUCAACAUGUCUAAGUUUACAAAAUGUAGGAGAAACCGAUUAUAAGUAAAUGCGCUACAUCAAUUAUAUGUCACUAUAUUUAAAGACAAGCCUAUUGACAAAAGUAUUUUUGAAUCGCUCUGAGUGAACCCUAGGAUAAAUCACAUUUCUUUUUCUGAGGUUGUAUUUUUGGUCUUUUUUCUUAGGCAGGAUUUUGCUCAGAGGAUAUUCAGGUUGAUCUAAGCGAGUACGAUAAAUCUUCUUAUCUGCCUCCUCUAGAAGUUUACGGAUGUUUACAAUGUUUGAAAUGUAUUUCCUUUUAAAGCAUCUCUCUAGGAAGUUCUGUAUGUU
rnacentral:ncRNA from 1 species